AUGGCAAAGACAGCAGCUUCUGCAGCCUCUGGUGCUCAGGCGGCAGCAUCAGAGGGCCGGGCAGCUGCCCCACACAGCCCCUGCUGUCCCCCCAGCCCAUUGCCCAGCCAGCAGGAAGAUCUCGGGCUGCGGGCAGGUUCAGGAGGGGUGGCACUCCUGGCAGAGCCACGGGCUGAGGAGGGGUCCCGCUCUGAGGAGCUCAGCUUGGGCCCACCCACGGAGUGGGCAGAAGACACAGACCUGGGCAGGAGUGCUGACCAGGAGAGCAUCUCAGGGUCCCUCCAGUCUGAGCCACUGCCAGAUGACACCGAGCCAAGGAGGAUGGCUGGGGAGGAGAAUAACUUUGUGCCUCUCCCACGUGAGGCUUGGGUAGAAGACCAAGACCAAAGCCAGAGCAGUGAGGGAGAGAGCUCCUCAUGGUCCCUCUCAUGGAUGUCAUCAGAAAAAGACCAUGACAGCGAGGAACCGACUCCCUCAGGAUUCCUGAUAAGCACUGAGGAAGAUGCAGAGAGGCAUUUCAGGGAACUGGAGGAUGCUGUGGGGACCAGUUGGUGGCAGGAAGAGUCGACGAAGUGUGAGAGGCUCAGAUUCCAGCCUCUGCAGGGCCUGUGCUCAGCUGCAGCUGUCCCCAUGCGGUGGCUGUCCCACUCCAGGAGGGCGCUCUGGGCUCUGUGCAGGGCGUUUGGGACGUCCCUCAGACGCCUCAUUCCAGUGCUCCCCUCAUAGAGGCCAUCCCACCAUGGCUCCACGCUGCCAGUGAUAGAACACCCAUGGAGGCCAAGCAGAACCCAAAGCAAGUCAGGGUUCUUGUCAGAGUAACCCUUCCUAUGGCAUGGACGCCUUCAUGAAGGACCUGCACCAGACAAUCGAGUCCACCCUCAGUCAUUUGCAGACAACACCAAAGCUCAGUGGCAGUGAUGAUCUGCUGGAGCUGGGAGGCUCAUGACUGAGGUGCCAUCGUAGCUGCUGCCUUGAAGAACUUGAGGAGCAGAACUAGAAGAAUUAAUUGAGAUAGAUAGGUUAAAAUAGGGGUAGAUGUUAGAAGAGAUUAGUGCUAGGAUUUAAGGUAACAGGAUAGAGGUCAUCUCAUGCCUUCUAUUCCUGUUUAAUUGCUAAAUUAAAAAUUUGGGCUCAGAAUAGGGUGUAUCAUAAGAAAGCCAAGUGUUUAAGCUAAAGAGCUCUUAAUAUUUAAUAUUAGACAUUAAUAUUUAAUAUUAGACAUUAGUUUGUAAAGAAAAGCCACAGGUUUUUUAAAGCUUUUUGUUUCCUAUAGUCUUAUUCAGCACUUGAUCUGGUAUGUUCCUUUGGAACAUGUUCCUUAUGCAAUUGAGCUGUAGCUUUUGUUAAGUUAAAACAGGUUAGAUAUAGAUAAGUUACUUUUAUUGAAAUAAAAUGAUUGAAUUGUUAAAUCA
rnacentral:lncRNA from 1 species